UACGUAGGGCGCAAGCGUUAUCCGGAAUUAUUGGGCGUAAAGAGCUCGUAGGCGGUUUGUCGCGUCUGCCGUGAAAGUCCGGGCUUAACCCCGGAUCUGCGGUGGGUACGGGCAGACUAGAGUGAUGUAGGGGAGACUGGAAUUCCUGGUGUAGCGGUGAAAUGCGCAGAUAUCAGGAGGAACACCGAUGGCGAAGGCAGGUCUCUGGGCAUUAACUGACGCUGAGGAGCGAAAGCAUGGGGAGCGAACAGG
rnacentral:rRNA from 1 species